rnacentral:rRNA from 1 species
GGGUUGUGAGGUUAAGCGACUAAGCGUACACGGUGGAUGCCCUGGCAGUCAGAGGCGAUGAAGGGCGUGCUAAUCUGCGAUAAGCGCCGGUAAGGUGAUAUGAACCGUUAUAACCGGCGAUACCCGAAUGGGGAAACCCAGUGUGACGAGUCACACUAUCAUUAACUGAAUCCAUAGGUUAAUGAGGCGAACCGGGGGAACUGAAACAUCUAAGUACCCCGAGGAAAAGAAAUCAACCGAGAUUCCCCCAGUAGCGGCGAGCGAACGGGGAGGAGCCCAGAGCCUGAAUCAGCAUGUGUGUUAGUGGAAGCGUCUGGAAAGGCGCGCGAUACAGGGUGACAGCCCCGUACACAAAAGCGCAUGUGCUGUGAGCUCGAUGAGUAGGGCGGGACACGUGGUAUCCUGUCUGAAUAUGGGGGGACCAUCCUCCAAGGCUAAAUACUCCUGACUGACCGAUAGUGAACCAGUACCGUGAGGGAAAGGCGAAAAGAACCCCGGCGAGGGGAGUGAAAAAGAACCUGAAACCGUGUACGUACAAGCAGUGGGAGC